rnacentral:misc_RNA from 1 species
UUUCCGUAGGCGAACCUGCGGAAGGAUCAUUCAUAAUAAAGUGUUUUGUGGCACUUUUUAAAAAUCCAUAUCCACCUUGUGUGCAAUGUUAGAUCUCGUCAAUCUUGGCGAGAUUUUUAUACAUCAACUCAUUCUUUAACUAAUUUGUCUGAAAAAUAUUAUGAAUACUUAAUUCAAAAUACAACUUUCAACAACGGAUCUCUUGGCUCCC